rnacentral:rRNA from 1 species
AACGAACGCUGGCGGCAUGCCUAACACAUGCAAGUCGAACGAGACCUUCGGGUCUAGUGGCGCACGGGUGCGUAACGCGUGGGAACCUGCCCUUAGGUUCGGAAUAACUCCCCGAAAGGGGUGCUAAUACCGGAUAAUGUCUUCGGACCAAAGAUUUAUCGCCUUUGGAUGGGCCCGCGUUGGAUUAGCUAGUUGGUAGGGUAAAAGCCUACCAAGGCGACGAUCCAUAGCUGGUCUGAGAGGAUGAUCAGCCACACUGGGACUGAGACACGGCCCAGACUCCUACGGGAGGCAGCAGUGGGGAAUAUUGGACAAUGGGCGGAAGCCUGAUCCAGCAAUGCCGCGUGAGUGAUGAAGGCAUUAGGGUUGUAAAGCUCUUUUAACCGGGAUGAUAAUGACAGUACCGGGAGAAUAAGCUCCGGCUAACUCCGUG